rnacentral:rRNA from 1 species
UACGUAGGGACCAAGCGUUGUUCGGAUUUACUGGGCGUAAAGGGCGCGUAGGCGGCAAUUCAAGUCACUUGUGAAAUCUCUGAGCUUAACUCAGAACGGUCAAGUGAUACUGCUUUGCUAGAGUGCAGAAGGGGCAACCGGAAUUCUUGGUGUAGCGGUGAAAUGCGUAGAUAUCAAGAGGAACACCGGAGGUGAAGACGGGUUGCUGGGCUGACACUGACGCUGAGGCGCGACAGCGUGGGGAGCAAACAGG